rnacentral:rRNA from 1 species
AUGAGAGUCCUAAGGUAGCGAAGUUCCUUGUCAGAUAAUUACUGACGUGCAUGAAUCGCGUAACGACUUGGGUACUGUCUCAACGAGGGACUCGGCGAAAUUGUAGUCGUGGUGAAGAUACCACGUACCCGCGGCAAGACGGAAAGACCCCGUGAACCUUUACUGUAGCCUAUUAUUGGGUUUUGGCACAGUAUGCGUAGGAUAGGUGGGAGACUGUGAAGUCCUGGCUCUGGCUAGGGCAGAGUCGACGUUGAAAUACCACUCUUACUAUGUUAAAAUUCUAACCAAACGCCGUGAAUCCGGGUUUGGAACAGUUAUAGGUGGGCAGUUUGACUGGGGCGGUCUCCUCCCAAAGAGUAACGGAGGAGUCCAAAGGCUUCCUCAGUGCGCUUGGCAACCGCACGAAGAGUGUAAGGGCAGAAGGAAGCUUAACUGUGAGACUUAUAAGUCGAGCAGGUGUGAAAGCAGGGCCUAGUGAUCCGGUGGUUGUGUGUGGAAAUACCAUCGCUCAACAGAUAAAAGGUACUCCGGGGAUAACAGGCUUAUCGCCCCCGAGCGUCCAUAGCGGCGGGGCGGUUUGGCACCUCGAUGUCGGCUCAUCGCAUCCUGGGGCUGGAGAAGGUCCCAAGGGUUCUGGAGUUCACAGAUUAAAGCGGUACGCGAGCUGGGUUUAGACCGUCGUGAGACAGGUCGGUCCCUAUCUGUCGUGGGUGUACGAUAUUUGAAGAGAUCUGUCCUUAGUACGAGAGGACCGGGAUGGACGUACCUCUGGUGCACCAGUUGUCGUGCUAACGGCAUAGCUGGGUAGCUACGUACGGAAAGGAUAAAUGCUGAAAGCAUAUAAGCAUGAAGCCUACUCUAAAACUAUAUAUCGUUUUCCAUUUAUGGAAGAGAGACACCUUGAAGACUACGAGGUUGAUAGGCCAGAGGUGUAAGUGUAGUAAUACACUAAGCUGACUGGUACUAAUAAGUCAAAAAGCUUGACUUU